CUGAAUAGGGCGACAUAGUAGGUGGUCGUAGACCCGAAACCGUGUGAUCUACCCAUGUCCAGGGUGAAGGUCAGGUAACACUGACUGGAGGCCCGAACCCACGCACGUUGAAAAGUGCGGGGAUGAGGUGUGGGUAGGGGUGAAAUGCCAAUCGAACACGGAGAUAGCUGGUUCUCUCCGAAAUAGCUUUAGGGCUAGCCUCAAAGGAUGAUGGUUGGAGGUAGAGCACUGAUUGGACUAGGGGCCCUCAUCGGGUUACCGAAUUCAGUCAAACUCCGAAUGCCAAUCAAUCUACUUUGGGAGUCAGACCAUGGGUGAUAAGGUUCAUGGUCGAAAGGGAAACAGCCCAGACCGCCAGCUAAGGUCCCAAAGUGUGUGUUAAGUGGAAAAGGAUGUGGCGUUGCUUAGACAACCAGGAUGUUGGCUUAGAAGCAGCCAUCAUUGAAAG
rnacentral:rRNA from 1 species